rnacentral:lncRNA from 1 species
CUCAUGAACCGUACCUCUUAUAUAUAGUAAUGUUUCAAUUCGAUCGGACCAGGAAAAUCAAGAUUCCAGAGAGUAAUCUUGUUCGAUAAUUAUCGUGUAAAAUGCGAGAGGAAACGUGUAUGUUAACAACUGAAAGGUACUCUAAAAAAAAUGGGGGUGUUGUUGUGGAUUGAAUUAUGGAGGGAGUUGAGAAGGCAAAUCCUUGACAGGCGUUAUAAUGGCACUGUGAUACAUGUGGACAAUGCUAAGAUAAAGGAUUGAAGAAGAAGCCAUUAAUUGUCACAUUGUUUAACAUGGAUUGGAAGGGCUAGGCACUGGCUAUAUAUCAAUUUCAGUUUCUAUGGAAUGCCCAGUCAGUCGGUGCUUUUUUUGCGUUGAGAAUAAUCAACCACCUAAAUUUCUGCUUUCAUCACUGCAUAAGUGGAAGAAUCCUCUCUCUCUCUCUUUUUGCGUGGGAUUUCUUUUUUUCUCUUUAUAUUUCUUUUUGUUUUUUGUCUAAGUGAUGUCUCUAAUUGAUUGAUUUUCACGUAUGGAUCAAUUAUGUCAAGAUUUAAAGAUUCGUGAAAACUUUACUCCUCGCAAUCUAAGUAAUCUUACCUGAUUUUGAACUUUUAAAAACUGGAAAUUAAACAGUGUAAUUAUUAAUCGUUUGACCAGUUCCUCAAUGUCAAAUAUGCAAAUACAAUGAAAUUCUCCGACCAUCAAUCUCCAAACAAAAAAGAAACAUACAACGAAAAGGACUAUAAGCCUAUAAUUAAACGCUUGUUGAGAAAGAUAACUGCAAACCUACAGGGACCUCGGUGAUGGAGAUGGAGAUGGUGAUGGUGAUAGGUCAAUAAAAACAGAACCCUUGAUUAAGCUAUUAGUAAUCAUAAUACUGCAGAGGAGUUUCUUGGGGUCUUAUGAAAACGAACAUCUUAAUUCUUUCAUCUUUAUACCAAAAAAAAGAAGAAGAAAAAGGAAAGAAAAUCUAACGGAGGAUUGGAUUAUAAGCAAAGGUCAUCCAUCUACCAUUUCCUUUCCAAAUUCUAACCAGUCUGGAUGAGACACGUGAACCCAGUUUAAUGAUCCCUCACACUCAACAAGCUUAUUAGGAGUUAGGACCACCCAAAAAAAAAAAAAAAAACAGUAUCUUUUACUGGUAGAACUGGUUGCAGGCUCACGGCAACACAUGUAGCUGGAACUCGUUGGAAAUUUUACUCGUUAUCAUCGUUUUUUUCUGCAUAAUUUUCAUGUCUCCAGGCCUAAUUUUGUAUUUAUUAUUCAAACUCAACGACGAACUGGCAAGGAUUAUUUAGCCUCCAGGCUCCCUAAAGAGCGCCUGUCACGGCGAGACAGCUAGCACAGCAAGGGCCACCACACAAUGGCGGUGCUCCAACAUACCAACUAAAAUUUGGCAGAUUAUAGCCAAAACUUAAGCGUAAAAUAUACAUCUGCCAGUGCCAAUCCAAUGGCAAUGUUAUGAUUAAGGGCCAGCUCAUAUGAGGGCAUGGCCCACUGAUCAUAAUCCUCCUGUUGCUUAUUCGGUAAAAAGGAUCGCUCAUUAUUCUUGACUAGUAGAAUACCUCUCAUUUUCACAGUUGUCGAGUUGGAUUUGAAGAUUAAUUCAAGAAAUGCGAGUCAAUUCAUGUAUUAGUGAAUUAAUAAUAUGAUAUAUUAAAAACAAUCCAACAUAUUGAAUUUAUAUACAUAUAUAUUUUAAUUUCAACAUAAUUCUUAACAUUGAUUUUAACACAAUUCUUAAUUAAUUGAAAAGGGCAAAGAUUUAAAGACUUGAAACUUGACUUAACAAGUAUUAAUUAAAAUAUUUAAAAUAUAAAUCAAACUUAAAAUCUUAAACAUUUAUAUGACAAUCAUAAUUAAAAAAAUGCAAGUUCUUUCACCCAUGCAUAAUAAAAUUUGAUUGUAUGAACAAGACUAGGAAUUCUCGAUGUGCCUGAUUUAUUUAGUUUAUUUUCAUUUAAAAUUGAAGAAAGAUUUAUUUUAUUGAGUUUUUUUUAUUUAAUCUGAACUAUUGAAACCGAUAUUGAGCUCUACAUUCGCUAGUGGUUGACAAAUGCAUGGCCAUUUUUAAGGACAAAAGAAAAUCAUUCCAACAAAAUCAUUAAUAAUCAUGAUUUUUUGAAUCAUGUUAAUGUCCGACGACUCUACCAUUUUCACUCCUCCCACAGAGAGAGGACAACCCCCUAAGCUAACCCAUAUUCAUCAUUAAUACACAACUUAAAGAGUAACUAACAAUUCUUCUUCUUCUUUUUUUUUUAAGGAAAAAAAAGCUGGCUGACUGCUACUAACGUGUCACCCAGAUCUCAUAUCCAAAUCACAUGCAUUGCUGGUCCCACAUCAAACAACAUAAUCGACGCCUCAGAUCUGUUUGGUAGCUCAUUGGCCCCACCAAUACCUCUCGAACUUCCGAACCUUCUUCCUUCUACUCUAUUUAUAAUCCUCCCUUCCUUUCUUUAUUUCCUCACUGAUCAGGACUGCACGCAAAGAGCAGAGAGAGAGAGAGAGUAUCAAAACUAGCAAAAAAUGAUGCUAAAAAAAGCUGUCAUCCUUCUUUCUUUGAUCUGCAUUUCGAUUGCUGGUGUUUCUGGUCAAGCACCAGCAACGUCACCAACAGCAACACCAGCACCACCCACACCAACUUCUUCUCCACCGCCAGCAACCACUCCUCCACCAGUUUCAGCCCCACCUCCUGUUACCCAAUCUCCACCUCCAGCUACCCCUCCUCCAGUUUCAGCCCCACCACCUGCCACCCCUCCUCCCGCAACCCCACCACCAGCAACUCCUCCUCCCGCCACCCCACCACCAGCAACCCCACCACCUGCUACUCCUCCACCAGCAACCCCUCCUCCCGCUGUUCCUCCACCAGCUCCAUUGGCAGCUCCACCAGCUCUUGUUCCAGCUCCAGCUCCCAGCAAGCCUAAGUUGAAGUCUCCAGCUCCAUCUCCCCUGGCAUUGAGUCCUCCAUCUCCAC